rnacentral:rRNA from 1 species
UACGAAGGGGGCUAGCGUUGCUCGGAAUCACUGGGCGUAAAGCGCACGUAGGCGGAUGUGUCAGUCAGGGGUGAAAUCCCGGAGCUCAACUUCGGAACUGCCUUUGAUACAGCACGUCUUGAGUCCGAUAGAGGUGGGUGGAAUUCCUAGUGUAGAGGUGAAAAUUCGUAGAUAUUUAGGAAGAACACCGGUGGCGAAGGCGGCCCACUGGAUCGGUACUGACGCUGAGGUGCGAA